rnacentral:tRNA from 1 species
GCCGUGGUAGCUCAGUGGUAGAGCACUUCGCUGAAAACGAAGGGGUUUCGGUGGUUCGAUUCCACUCCGCGGCA